rnacentral:lncRNA from 1 species
AUUGUGCUGAAUGCUGUAUCAUUCUUUGCUCACCUACAUUGAACAGAUCUCAACACUGAAAACAUCUUUCUGGAAUAAGCACUCUAAGAUCUGUGUGUUUGGAGUUGAAGAGAUGUCACUGGUGAGUAAAAGCCAGGAGAGUUCCUGGGGUGGAUUUAAUGACUGGGUCUGGUGCUUUGGAUUGCAGGCUGGAGUGUGUUCAAUGAGUCAUUAAAAAAAAAAAAAAAAAAGAAAGAAAUUGGGAAUUCCUGUCAGCUGAUGUUCUAUCUGCCUUGUGUACAGAUUGACUUCAAGGACUUCCACCAUGUUCCUUCUGAUUCCAUUUACAAGAAUACCCUUGUUAUGAAGGCAUGGACAAAAGCUGAUUACUCUUA